rnacentral:lncRNA from 1 species
AUGAGGAUAGGGAUGCGUGGCUUGGAGAAGACGUUGGAAGGGAUGCGUGGCUUGUCCAGAACGUGGCAGCUCUAAUACACAAAGUGGAAGGGCUGAGCCAAAACUCCAAGAGAGAGGGAAAGGCUAGUGUGAUGGAAGGAUCAGUGCAAUCAGAAGUGGAGAAGGUCGAGCAUGUAGACGAACCAGAGAAAUGGCAGGAAGGAAUAGAAGGAGCUAGCUUUGGGAGGCCCUCAACGAACACCUUCCAGAGCAGAGAUGAAGAUAGUUGGAGGAGGGUGCGAAAAUUGCAGAUGCCCAUCUUCAGUGGAGAAAACCCAGAUGGGUGGCUGUUUUGA